UACGUAGGGUGCGAGCGUUAAUCGGAAUUACUGGGCGUAAAGCGUGCGCAGGCGGUUCGUUGUGUCGGCGGUGAAAGCCCCCGGGCUCAACCUGGGGAAUGGCCGUUGAAACUGGCGAACUGGAGUGUGGCAGAGGGGGUGGAAUUCCGCGUGUAGCAGUGAAAUGCGUAGAGAUGCGGAGGAACACCGAUGGCGAAGGCAGCCCCCUGGGCUAACACUGACGCUCAGGCACGAAAGCGUGGGGAGCAAACAGG
rnacentral:rRNA from 1 species